CCUACGGGUGGCAGCAGUCGAGAAUCAUUCACAAUGGGGGAAACCCUGAUGGUGCGACGCCGCGUGGGGGAAUGAAGGUCUUCGGAUUGUAAACCCCUUUCAUGUGGGAGCAAAUUAAGAAGAUAGUACCACAAGAGGAAGAGACGGCUAACUCUGUCCCAGCAGCCGCGGUAAGACAGAGGUGUCAAGCGUUGUUCGGAAUCACUGGGCGUAAAGGGUGCGUAGGCGGUUUCGUAAGUCGUGUGUGAAAGGCGCGGGCUCAACCCGCGGACGGCACAUGAUACUGCGAGACUAGAGUAAUGGAGGGGGAAGCGGAAUUCUCGGUGUAGCAGUGAAAUGCGUAGAGAUCGAGAAGAACACUCGUGGCGAAGGCGGGUUCCUGGACAUUAACUGACGCUGAGGCACGAAGGCCAGGGGAGCGAAAGGGAUUAGAUACCCGGGUAGUC
rnacentral:rRNA from 1 species